rnacentral:misc_RNA from 1 species
GAUGAAGAACGUGGCGAAAUGCGAUACGUAAUGUGAAUUGCAGAAUUCAGUGAAUCAUCGAAUCUUUGAACGCAUAUUGCGCUCUCUGGUAUUCCGGAGAGCAUGCUUGUUUGAGUAUCAGUAAACACCUCAACUUCCAUAUCUUUUUUGAAAUGGGAGUUGGACUUGAGUGAUCCCAACGCUUUUCCUCACCGAAAAGUGGCGGGUUACUUGAAAUGCAGGUGCAGCUGGACUUUUCUCUGAGCUAUAAGCAUAUCUAUUUAGUCUGCCUAAAAAACAGAUUAUUACCUUUGCUGCAGCUAACAUAAAGGAGAUUAGUUCUUGUGCUGACUGAUGCAGGAUUCACAAAGACGGCUUCGGCCGACUUUGUAAACUCGAUCUCAAAUCAAGUAAGACUACCCGCUGAACUUAAGCAUAUCAAUAAGCGGAGGA